UACGUAGGGGGCAAGCGUUAUCCGGAUUUACUGGGUGUAAAGGGAGCGCAGACGGAACUGCAAGUCUGAUGUGAAAGCCCGGGGCUCAACCGCGGGACUGCAUCGGAUACUGUGGAUCUGGAGUGCCGGAGGGGCAAGCGGAAUUCCUGGUGUAGCGGUGAAAUGCGUAGAUAUCAGGAGGAACACCGGCGGCGAAGGCGGCUUGCUGGACGGCAACUGACGUUGAGGCUCGAAAGCGUGGGGAGCAAACAGGAUUAGAUACCCCGGUA
rnacentral:rRNA from 1 species